GCCUUGGGCCUGGCACCAGGCAGGGUAGGCCGCAGCUGAGGCAGGGUAGGCCGCAGCCAGGCCUUGGGCCUGGCACCAGGCCAUGGCGCUAUCACUGCUCCCAGCCUGUUUGCUAUGGAGGCACAAGAACGGCCACAGGGCGCCCCAAAGGACUGAGCAGGUGUGAGCUCACCGUGCAGGAGAUGGAUGAGCUCAGCUGGGGCGGACUCAACAAGUUAAUGGCUCAGAAGAAUGGCAUGAGCUAAGAGUGCAGAAGUCUGGCUGUAUUUAUGCAUGAUUGCAGUGCGUAAGUGCUUACAAGCGUAUUUUGGAGGCAGAACAAAGGCUCUGGCUCUUUCCUUUAGAGGGCGAUCCUGCCACACACAUCUUCAACGUGCGAACUUGUGGGAGCUGCAAUGUGAGGUGAAGCCGCCCAGAGGUCAGCAGAACAUGGUGGCUCUCGUGGAGCUCUGCGAGUCUGCGGACAUGAAGGGAGCUGCCGUCUGGCCUGGGCAGUUCUGGUUGAAUGUGUUCUGCUUCCUCAGGCAGUUGCCAAGCUGCUCCCAGAGGUCAUUUGUCUUGCCCUUGUGCAGAGGAAGCAGCUAAUGCCUUGUUUGGCUGUGUCCAAAGAGGUGAACUGAAGUCUCCCUGGAUUACAGAGGGCAGUUGGUUAACUGUAACUAUUCCUCCUACUGCUUGCGAGAAGAUCUGCUGAGGCUAGGCUUCAGGUCACACCUCCUGUGGGGAGCCUUGAUGCAGAGGAUUAGACUGGGAGCUACUCAGACCAAGAGGACAAAGUGGAUCCAAGGUUGCGAGUACAACUCCAACAGCCCCCAGAUUCUUGGAGAGCCGCCCACAAAAGACAGAGAUUCAUGCGCCUUUCUUCCUGAAUUAACCACCAGCACGUGUGUCACUGCUUUGCUGCUGACCCCACGCCUUUGCUGUUGCAUAAAGGGUUCUCCUUGCCCAGAAGAUCCAGCUGCCAGCACACUUCAGGAGGCUCCAAAUCCAUUAUCACUUCUCUAACAUCUCCCUCCAAGAGGCUGCAGUUUGGCACAGGCAGUGCCUUUGAUGUCGGGGCUUGGCCAGCACCUCGUGGUGUAGGAUCCCAGUUCAUCGCUGGGGCAUCUCCGCUUGGGAUCAAUGGUGAGUGCUCCCAGAGACGCUUUUCUUUCACAGCCCUGAGUUUAUGGUUGGUGAAACUCAGCAGGGGCUGGGGAGCUCAGUGGAGUGUCGUGUCUGCAUGGGAGAGAGGGAUGGGAACCAGGGGCAGGAUGUGGGGGCUCCCAGUUCCCAGCCCAUUGCCUCUCCUUCCUCUUCAGCAUCAGUAGCACUGCCAACACCUGGUACAUUAACACAGCAGAAACCCUAGAUAAUCUCUGAAUACACAGCUGGUAAAGUGACUUUAAUUCAGCUUCUCGCAGUUGAAGGGUGUGAGCUGCAUCCUGGCUGGGCUCCAGGCUGACGGAGACUUGAUGGGGAUCUGAAGCCCUGGGUACAGAGGGUUUGCUGCAGACCAGUGGCUGCUCUCCAGAUCCCAAACCCUGAAGUGUCUGCCCCCAUGGGUCCAUCUGGCCCCAAGGGGCCAUUCUUCUUAGUGUGGGGUAGAUCCUGGCCUGAGGAAAAAGAGGUUGUGUCCUUGGUGGGGGGGACCUAUGAGAACAAGGUCCCCAGGAAGCAGAGUAGGACAGUGUUCCCCAGCAACCUGAUGUCUUAGCUGGACACCAGCCCCCAUCAGGGCUCAUUGCUGCCUGGUCCAACGCAUUCUGCUCCUGCCCAAUCCUGCUCAGACCCUGUUUUUUAUAUACCACCCUAAUACCCAAAGCUGGGUGUCACUGCUGCUCCUUGGCUGGCAUACACAGCCUGUGUGGCUAUAGAAAUAGGCUGUGUUUGCUUCCUAAUAUCUGUGUUCAUGCUUCAGCCUCUUGGUCUGGUGCUGAGCUACAGCAUCAAGAUGCUGUUGCUGACCUUGCUGCCGUCACUCCUGUACCUAUGUGCAGGUCCUGCAGUGAAGGUGCCCAUGGUGUUUCCUUGAGCUGCUGGCCCCAGGCUGUUGUUGGUGCCCUGUCCCCACUCCCCAUGUUCCUCCUCCAGGCAGCACUGGGUAAGCUCCCGCAGGGGUCUCCUUUACUCUUCCAACUUCAGCCAGCUCUGUGCAGAACCUCCACCGAGAUAAAAGAGCGACGCAGUGUGAAACCUUCCUCCUCUUCAGCAGAUGGUGUUUGCGGCACUGGACGUUUCCUGUGCUGUUGUAACAGAACGGCCUGGUCUAGCCAAGAAGAGGAAGGGGAAGCUGCAGUCUGGUCUUGCUGAAGCUGCCUUACUCCACAGACCUGACUUGAGAUCCUGGAUCACGAAUGAUCUCUUGCUUUCUCAAGUAUCAAAUGGGUUUUUUUCCUCCUUUUUUUUUUCCCCUCCAUGUUUCAACCCACGAGCUGAAGAGCUGCCAUGCCUUGCUGCAGCCAGCAGCUUCUGUCACUGCAGCACUCACAGCAGCCUCCUGGGGCUCGGUGACCACAGAUGUGCUGUGUGAUGCAAUGUGAACUUCACAUCACCUUCACGGAAAGACUGAAAUGCAUCUAAACUGGAACUCACCCGGUGUCACUGCCUUAGGCUGAACAGAGCAAUGCUACAUCUACCCUAGAUGUGAACUUCCAGCCUGGAAAGCGCCUCAUGGGUGAAGAAAUGAGAAAUGGUGCCCUGACUGAGCUGCAUUGGGAGCUUUCAGCUGGUAUUGCUUCUGCUUGUGUUUGUUUGAGCAGCUCUAGCUAAAAUGGUACACCAAGAAGGAGCAGCUGCACAUCCAUCCGGCUUAGUGCUGUCAGACCAGGCUGAGGUUGCUGAGUGCUGCAGUGGAUGUAUUCGAGACAGAUCUCAGUCGGGGGAGCAAGGCAAUGCAUAUGGGCUCACUGCUUCCCUGGAGCCAGCACUGUGACUGCUCCCCAGAGAGCAGCUCCCUGACUGCAUCAGCUCCCUGAGCAGCUCUGCUCCUUCUCCUCCCAGCAGCCAGAAACUGCCUACAUCAGCUUUUGCCUUCUGAUGGAAACCAGCUGAGCCACAGCGAUGGGGAGCAACCCAUGGGCACUGCAUGCUGCUGCAAGCCCUGUCCCACACCCAGGUAAUUCUGGGGUAAGAACCUUUGUGAGAAGGGGCUGCGUUCCCUUGCCAGCUCUGCAAGGUCAGACGCAGCCCUUGCCAUGCUCUGUGCACCCCUCCUCACCCCUCUGACUCCGGUAGCACCAGGCUGUCUCACAGCCCUGCUGAGCCCUGCCAAACCUCAAAAGCCCUUUCACAAAGAGCCAUGUGUCAGCACUUCAUGUCCCCUAUCAGCACCAUCUACCUGACUUCUUCCUGCCGGUCACAGCAAGCCCAAGCAGGUAGCAGGACACAGGGCAGCUGGAGGUGGAUGCUGGGGGGUUCAGCCAAAGUGCACUCCUUCCUGCAGCAUUCAGCUAAAGGAAGGGAUCUUUCUUUAGCUCCUCUUUUCCUCCGCCUUUCAAAGCGGUGCCGUAUGGAUGCUAUCACCGAGUUCAUUAGUCCCUGUCGGAUCUCCCCCUCCCUGGAGGGGAUGGGUUUUGCUGCAGCUGAGCUCUGGUGGUUUUUCUCUUGGGGUUUCAAGAAGUUUCAUUCCACCCAUGAGAAGUGCCAGGCGUCGGGGGAAGAUUUGUUUCUUGGCAGCUGUUCCCGUUUUGCUCUAGAAAACAGAUGCUGUGCUAGGAAUGCACCGUGACUAAAAUUCCUCUGGGCUGCUCAGGUCAAAUAGCAGCAAUGGGGGAAGCAGGAAAGCAGCACUGCUCAGCACAGGGAGAGCACAGGGCUGAGCCCAAAGUGGGGCUGAGCAUUUCUAGGGAGCAGGGGCUCGGUGUUGGCUCUGCCUUGGUUCUGCCUGUUCUAAAGGAGCUGCAGAGCCUGCUGGUGUCAGCUUUUGGUUCUGUGACAGCAUCUGACCCCUGGGGCACAGAGCACGCUGCCUCCGUUUGCUCUGCAUAGGGCUGGGGGAAGCUUUCAGCGUCAGAGGUUUAAACAAGGGCUGUGAUGGGUGGUGACAGCUUGAGAAAGACACAAACAGCGAAAGGUAUUGGUGCUGUCAGGGAACAUGACAGGCAAGUUCACAGCCCUCGUAGGCCUUUGGCUUCCUGUUUUCUCCCGCUGGGAAAGCAAUCCUGUAUGGUGACAGCCACAGGUGACCCUGCAGCAGGUGGGGGCAGAGCUGGGGAUGCUGAGAGCCAUCAGCCCCAUAGGGUGAGGUGUGCAGGCAGCCCCGUGCAACCCUGCCCUCCCCAGAUGAAGGUGGCCAGCACGGUGUGGGUGCUGCAGCCCUUCAGUGCGACUGCAAAAUGGGUCACCCCAUCAAAACAGACCUCUUGUUGUUCCCGAGCUAAAAGAAGGGGCUGUGCGAUAGAAAACCUGCAGCUGGUGUCUCUAAUCUCCCACCAGCAUCUGCAUUAACUGACAGCACAGUGACUUCCUUGAUGCUUGGCAAUUUUUUUCCAUGCACGCAUCCAGUUAAUCAAUUAAGUUUCUCAGCAGCUUCCUCCAGCAUUCAGGCAUGGAGGGUGGAAGGGAUUUGUUAUUCUAGGCACUGUAAGAGAGGCAUGAACUGUACUAGAAGCAAAUUGGUUGUGCUUUCCAAGCACUGGUGCUUCUCACUCCCAGCUCAGGGGUCUGGUCCUGCUCCCACCACCUUGUCUGGACCCAGGGAUGGGGAUGCUCUCGGUCUAUGUCAGCUUUGGGGACACUCCAGGUCUUCAGUUGCUACACAACCCUUCUGGUCCAUGGCAUUCAACUCCAUUCAAGGAGCUGGGGAGGUUGGUUUGUCCCUUAACUCAGCCCUCUGCUCAAUAAAUAUCCUCCCAGUUGUUUAUUUUCCCUUCUUCCUUUCCUUCUCCCGUGCUUCUGCUUGUUCCCUGCCCUGCCCAGGCGUGCUGCUCCACGUGCUCUGUGAGAUGUCCCCAUCCAUCCUGCAAACCUGGGGCUGUGGGGGCUGCAGGAUGCAGGCAGGAUGGGUGGAGGCACUGAGAAAUUUGGGGUGACCCCAGGAAGAGGGAUGGAUGGAUGAGAGGAACCUCAUCUCCUGCCAACUCGGCUACACCCUGUUAGUGGGAACGGGGAUGUUUUGUGCAUGUUUAGCAAUGUGAGAGGCUGAAGCAUGACAGCAGCAGGGGUCAGGAGGGCUGUAGGGUUUGUUAGGAGUGCAGCCAGUCGGGUGAUGCUCCUUGCUCCCCAUGAGACCUGUUGCAAUCUGCACAUGCAUCCUCUCAGGCCAAGCAAAACUUGCACUGUGCUGCUGGCCUUUGGCUCGUGGCCUGAACACGGCUGGGGUCCAGCUGGGCUGGGAGUGGUCCCUGCUCCUGGGCUUCCCCAUGGGCUCAUCACCCCAACAGCAUCCUGCUGUGAGGACAAGGGGGAAUUGGGUGUGGAGAACAACCUGUGCUUGAGGAGCAUUCUCUAUAUCAGCCAGAGGAUUUCAGCCACCUUCAUGCCUGUUCCCUGCAACCACCUGGUGCCAACGGAUUGCAUCCGCAUGAUAAAUCCCAUUGCUCUUCUGCUCAGGAAGUAAUUUGGUGAACCAGGAAAGAGAACGUUGCUUGCUACCAGCCUUCUUUCCAAAGCAAUUGCACAACACUGCUCUGGGGUUAGCAAACUGCAGACAUCUGGGAGCAAUCGAUGCUGUUUAGGCUCUGAGAAAUCAUAGGAGAAAGUUAGAAGGAAGCAACUUAAAAGCUCAACGUUAAAAGCAGUCUGGAAACCCUGGAAAUUCACAUCAGGGUAAUUCCUACAAAGAGCCAGGAGGCAGAAGGAAUGAGAAGGACAAUGGAAACAGCAGCCUCCACAGGAGCCUUUGGAAAUGGUUAAGGAUUUGGGGAGCCACAUCUUCUAUGCCAGUCGGCCCCAGCAGCACCCCGUAAAUGAGAAACCACAUAAGCCUCGCACUGUUAUUGCUACGCAGCAUUAAAGCCUCUCAUUUGGGAUAAACAUUCUCAUCUCCAGCAGAGCAUGAAUAACAUUAAAUGAGAUAGUUAAAAUGGUUCGGGCCAAUUAUAGCCCCGGUGUAAGUUGGGCAGAGUUGCACCAGGGAUUAAUUUGAUGUGGAGAGCUCUGCCUCCUGUUCCGAGCCGGGAUUCCAGUGCGGGUAAUUACAUCCUGCCUCUGUGCUUCCUCUGCAGUUUUAAUUGGGUUGAAUGGACCAAAUCCGCAGCAAGUGUAAAUCUAUGUAAUUGAGCUCUCUCUGGAGAGGAACCCUGCUGCUUUACACCCUCCAAUCUGGGCCAGCGCUCUUCCCUUCCUCCCUGCUGGGCUCCAGCUGCCCAGGGCUGGCUGCCACCCCACGAAGGGCUCCCAUUUUGCCCUUGGCUGAAAGUCAAUGAUUUCCUAAGCUGCCAUGGACAGCCCAGAGCCCAACCCCUGCAGUGGUGCAGGUGAGACCCACCGGGUCCCAAUCUGCUUUUGGGCACGCUGUGCCUUCUGCUGGGAAAUGACCCCACUAAGUGGCCUCCUUCCCAUCUCCUGUCCUUACCCCAUCCCACAUCCAGGCUCCAGCACACAGAACAAGCAGCUGGACCAUCUCCCUCUCCCACUUCCCAGCCCGCUGAGUAAAUCAGCAGUAAUGAGGGACUUUUGACCCUCUCUUUCCCCGAACGGCCUCAAGAAGCAUUUUUCUUCCAUGAGGUACUUGAGAAGCUUGAAGUUCUUUCCUUCUCCUGCUUCUAUUGUAGCUUUGCUUUCCUUGUUUUUGUUUGCGUGUUUGUUUUUCUUUUUCUCUCCUAGGAAAGGACAAGUCAUGGGAUGCAAUGAACCUUCAGGAUGCCUUGGGAGCAGGGGGUAUGCAUCCAGUUUGGGUCUUGUCUCUUUCGGUCCAGCAGCAAACUGUGGGAUCGGAGCUGGGAAAGUGCUCCUGCUGGCUGUAAUUAGGGAUGUCAUUGCGAAGCAUUAUCUCACAGAGCUGGAGCCUAUACAGAGCCAUACAUCCUCUGUAGCCAAUUGUGCACGGGGGUGAUGGGAGAGGGAAGGGCUCUGGGAACAUUCUCCACUACCCAUUUCCAGGACGUUGUGCUGCUGUGUGGUCCCUUUCCCUUCUCACAGAGCAAUGAUGAAAGCAGACAGACAGUGAGACCCCAGGGAGCUGCACAGCGCAGCCCAAGGCUUUGCCUCCAGCAAGACAGUGUGGGGCUGCAGGUCCUCACCCCCAGCUGGGCUCAGCCCACUCCUCCGUUUCCCGUUUGGUUUCUCCCAUAGUGUAUUUUCGGGAGGUAGAGACAUCCCAACCCUCCCUUCCUCCCCAAUGGUAGCACAUCUCGGAGGGGCCACGAGGGCUGUCGCUGCCGGUCCUGCUCUUCUCGUAAAGCACACUGAGCUUUUGGCCAGCAGCAGAGAUGCAAUUUCAGAGAUUGAGCAAAUUCCCCCUCCCACCCACUGAGGACCUCCCAGGACCAGCACACAUCCCACAUCCCACCUCAUCCAGCCGCCGAUUGCUGCAACGGGUUGAGUCAAUCGAGACCAUUUCUCAUGCAACCAUCCAUCCCGGAGGUCCCCAGGAGGAGGGUUGGCUCAGGAAACCUUCAGCCCCAAAUCCAACACUCCCCCCCGUGCAGCUGAUGGAGCACAGCUCACAUUGCAGUGACCCGAAGCGCCGUCUGUGCCACGUCCAGCUGGCCUUUCUGCUUUGCUGGCGUGCUCCUUUCUGCUUUUAUUUUGGCUCUUUUUUUCUUUUGGCUACGUAUAUAUAUUUGCAAAUCCAGAUGGGAUGAAAGGUCAGACUUGCUGUGACCGUAAGGCCCAGGCUGAAAUCUGGGUUCUCCCUUAACCUGGGAUGGCUGUGGCUGGAUGAGCCCUGCUGGUGGGCUCAGCCAUCUGCCAGGAGAGCUGUGCCGGGCUCUGUGCUCACACGUUGGGGCUGUUGGAGCUCUGGCUCAUCUCCAUCCCUGUUCUGUCCUUGCUCCGCUCAUCGCUGCCCACCCAAACAUGCUCAGCCUCCUCCCGCUCAGCUCCUGACCUUUAUUCUCCCUUAAAUCAAUACACAGAGCCAUGCUGCAGCAGCACCAGCGCCUCUGGGGAGCGCAGCUGAUGUAUAGCAUCCAAGGAGCUGCUUCUCAUUGUGAGGCUCCCAUCCAGAUAAGCUUUUGUCUUUCCAGCCCCCAAUCUCUCCUAUGCUGCAUGGGCCCUGCGUUCAUCCCCUCUGCUCCUGGCACUAUUGACUCCACAUUUGCUUUCAUUCUGUUGUAAAAUGAAGGCAGCUCCAGGUAGAAAAGCAGUUUAAUUCUUCCUGAAUAUCAGAAAUGCCUUUAUGAAAAUAAAAUCGAAAGCGAGUUGGGAUCGGAAAGUUUUAAUUAAAAAGCUUCAGGGGGAAAAAAGGAAAUCUAUUAGGAAACCUCUGCGGACAUUCAGUAAGUUCUCCCUGCAGAGAAGCAGCAUGAAGGGAGCUGCAGUGUCUGCCUGUGCCCUGCUGGUGGGAAGGGAUGAGAGGUGCAGUGAAGCUGGGAGCAGCCCAGGUUGGGUGCUUGCCCUCCUCAUUGUGGCCAAAAGCACAAAGACCCCCCUCCUCCUCCCUCACACCCCUUGGGUAAAGGAUGGCAACUGCUUUCUUGGCCAGGCUGAAGCUGUCACCCCUCAGUCCCAAUGCCUGAUCAAUACAAACCAAUGGACUUUUUCCCAUCAGAACAUGUCUAUUUUUUUCCAGCAGGUUGCCAAGUUCUCAGACAGAUGAAGGCUCCGUUUGGCAGAUAGAAAACAGGGAUAUUUGUCUUUAUUCUGAAACCGAAUUCUUGUGGCUGAGCUGCACCAAAAAUACAUCUUCCCCCCCCACCACUCCCAGACAUGAGACACCACUGAGCGCCGAAAGCAACUCUUCCCUGCCACAAAUGGACCAAAUAAACCCAGCACGAGACCGGUGCUUAGCAGAAACCAGAUGCGCCUCUAAUGCUGUCAUCUACAGCAAGCUGCGUCUGCAAACUGAUCUUUUAUUAAUGUGUGUGCACGGGUGGGAGAGCUGGGAGAGUCCCAGCGCCGGGAGCACAACAUGCCAUCACUUCAUGCCCAUGGGCUGCUUUGUGGCUCCCAAUGGGCAUUGAUAUGGGGUUACCCGAAGCCCCUUUGGACACAGCAUUCAGGAUUUGCAGAGUUUGGCCUCGUUUUGCCCUGAGCUGCACCAUAGAGGUGGGUUUUGGAGGGGUUCUCGAUGUGUUCUGAGGCUGGGAGGCUGCAGGAGGAUGAGCUGUUGGUUGGUGCUGGCAGCUGAAAUAGGUGAGGUGAUUCAGGAUGCUCCACGUGGCUGGAUGUGCCCUCAUCUGGGAGCUGGGCAGCUCUUGGAAGUACCAGAAAGGGCUUUUUCCCCCCUCUGGUCUGCCCAGUCCAGGCUCUGUGUCUCUAUUUCCAUACACCUCAGGAGCAGCCACUUUCCAGAGCGCACACAGCCUCACCAGUGAGCAGAGACCUGUAAAUCCUGGGAGAAAUAUGGAGAAACCACCAUUAAACAGAAGGCAGAGUCUGCAAGAGACAUGGCAGGGCAGAAAGGCAAAAUAAAACAGGCUUUUUCUCCCCAAUUCCCCUUCAUUUCCACACUUUUGAUCCUUCCAACCCGAGCUGUUCCAUGACUCUCUCAUGUCACCCAUCCCACCUGGCUCUGCAGCAGCAUUAGGUGGCGCGAGGCUCAGAGCCUUCCUUCCUCCUGGACUCUUCUUCCUCUCCCUCGGGGUGCCUGGGGAUGGAAAACAUGAGGUGAGCCCACACUGGGCUACACUGGGAGCAUCUGGAGCCAUUUGACUUUCCAAAUGGAAGCUGCUCACUUUCACAGCACUGCACCUUUUCUCCACGCUUUCCCUAUAUUUUCCCCACAUUUUCCCCAUGUUUUUCCCCAUCUCUGCUUAGUUCAAGUCCCAUGAGGUUCUGCUGCAGCUCAGUUUGGCCUGGAAUGCUGAUUUUAACCAACACAUCAUUUUAUAAUUAUUAUUAUUCCCCCUUUUUUCCUUCUUUUUUAUUUAUUUUUUUUAUUUUUUGCCAGGAAAUAAAUAAAUCAUACAAUUCCUCAUUGCCUCCUC